AUGAAUCUUCUUGCCUAGAACCGUUGAGGAAUGGGGUUGGACUCGACAGUAGGCGAACUACGAGACCUGAUACGGUCCUACAACCCAUCAGUGGUGUUCCUGUGUGAGACCAAAAAGAAAGCUCGAGCGAUGGAGAAGAUUAAGUGGAGUCUUGGCUUUCGAAACGGAGUGGUAGUGGAUAGUGUGGGUCAGAGUGGAGGCUUGGCCAUUUGGUGGCAAGAUCACAUCCAAGUCACGGUACGUCCGUGGUGCCAAUAUUUCCUUGAUACGGAGGUUACUUUUGAUGGGAAAACCUGUAGAAUCACUGGAUUCAAUGGUGAACCAAAGACUGAACAACGGAAGAAAUCGUGGCACGCCCUUCGCUUUCUGAGGGCCCAAGAUGACCUCCCUUGGAUAUGUGUGGGCGACUACAACGAGGCUCUCUUCCAAUCUGACCAACAUGGGGGUGAUACGUCUCCAACGUAUCUAUAA
rnacentral:rRNA from 1 species